AUACGUAGGGGGCGAGCGUUGUCCGGAAUGAUUGGGCGUAAAGGGCGCGUAGGCGGCCCGGUAAGUCUGGAGUGAAAGUCCUGUUUUUAAGAUGGGAAUUGCUUUGGAUACUGUCGGGCUUGAGUGCAGGAGAGGUAAGUGGAAUUCCCAGUGUAGCGGUGAAAUGCGUAGAGAUUGGGAGGAACACCAGUGGCGAAGGCGACUUACUGGACUGUAACUGACGCUGAGGCGCGAAAGUGUGGGGAGCAAACAGGAUUAGAUACCCUGGUAGUCCACGCGGUAAACGAUGAAUGCUAGGUGUUGCGGGUAUCGACCCCUGCAGUGCCGGAGUAAACACAAUAAGCAUUCCGCCUGGGGAGUACGGCCGCAAGGUUGAAACUCAAAGGAAUUGACGGGG
rnacentral:rRNA from 1 species